UUGAAUCCAGAUGAAGCAUAAAUCAUUCCUGACAUCUGUACACAGCAAGUCCUUUAAGCUCAAAUCGCAGGAUGCUUGCUUUGAACUUUGGGUGACCAACUUCAUCCUUCAUUGUUUUGCUGCAAUACAGAUAUAUUCAGCACCAGAUGCUUUUAAACCAGCAUUAGUUAUAGUCUGCUCAGCUUCAACCAGGGAAGUAGCUGGAGCAAAGGGCAAGACUUUGGAGAUUUAUAUCGUGCUGAAGCCUCCUUAAGGGAUGGAUCACAUGCUGGGAACCUUUAUAAAAGAGAAAUAAGGAAUUAGUGAUGCAAAGAUGUUUUAUGGGAGCAUACUGCAGUCUGCUGAUGCCUCAUUGUUUUCUUACUGCAAACUUUGUGUGUGUUUCUCUCAUGACUUGCGCUCCUCAAGCUUGUUGUGUGUAAUUUGUCAGUCUUAUGAAAAGACAUUUCGGAAGUUUAAAUGAUCCAGCACUAAAGUUGGCACAGGCCAAAGUUAAAAUCUACUACACCUGGUCGUGUAGUGCCAUGGCAGGACUGAUUUACAAGUAGAGUCAUGACUCAGUGGUCACAUUCAGAAUGCAAAUAAAAGCCCAUUCUUGAAAUUUUUGAUGAUCAGUGCUCUAAUUAUAGACAUGAAUAUGAAAUUAGCUGGAUAGACUGAACUGUACAUGGGAAGCACCUUGACUGAACUCCUAAGACAGGCUUCUGUUACAAUGAUAGAAACUGAAAGCCUGCUCUGUGUUUUACAGAACUAGAAGCUCUCUCUAUGUGUAAGAAA